AGCAACCAAGCAGGCGCAAGAAGCAACCAGCCGCGCUAUCCGCUCCCGUUGCUACCGGAAUGCCUCUUCAGGUUAGCGAUUACAGCUGGCAGCAGACGAAGACUGCGGUCUUUCUGUCUCUGCCCCUCAAAGGCGUGUGCGUCAGAGACACGGACGUGUUCUGCACGGAAAACUAUCUGAAGGUCAACUUUCCUCCAUUUUUAUUUGAGGCAUUUCUUUAUGCUCCCAUAGACGAUGAGAGCAGCAAAGCAAAGAUUGGGAAUGACACCAUUGUCUUCACCUUGUAUAAAAAAGAAGCGGCCAUGUGGGAGACCCUUUCUGUGACGGGUGUUGACAAAGAGAUGAUGCAAAGAAUUAGAGAAAAAUCUAUUUUACAAGCACAAGAGAGAGCAAAAGAAGCUACAGAAGCAAAAGCUGCAGCAAAGCGGGAAGAUCAAAAAUACGCACUAAGUGUCAUGAUGAAGAUUGAAGAAGAAGAGAGGAAAAAAAUAGAAGAUAUGAAAGAAAAUGAACGGAUAAAAGCCACUAAAGCAUUGGAAGCCUGGAAAGAAUAUCAAAGAAAAGCUGAGGAGCAAAAAAAAAUUCAGAGAGAAGAGAAAUUAUGUCAAAAAGAAAAGCAAAUUAAAGAAGAAAGAAAAAAAAUAAAAUAUAAGAGUCUUACUAGAAAUUUGGCAUCUAGAAAUCUUGCUCCAAAAGGGAGAAAUUCAGAAAAUAUAUUUACUGAGAAGUUAAAGGAAGACAGUAUUCCUGCUCCUCGCUCUGUUGGCAGUAUUAAAAUCAACUUUACCCCUCGAGUAUUCCCAACAGCUCUUCGUGAAUCACAAGUAGCAGAAGAGGAGGAGUGGCUACACAAACAAGCUGAGGCACGAAGAGCAAUGAAUACUGACAUAGCUGAACUUUGCGAUUUAAAAGAAGAAGAAAAGAACCCAGAAUGGUUGAAGGAUAAAGGAAAACCUGAAAGAUGUCUGAAAAUUCCAGUGACAGUGAUUCAUCUUGUGGUUGGACUGUCAUCAGUCAUGAGGGGUCAGAUAUAGAAAUGUUGAAUUCUGUGACCCCCACUGACAGCUGUGAGCCCGCCCCAGAAUGUUCAUCUUUAGAGCAAGAGGAGCUUCAAGCAUUGCAGAUAGAGCAAGGAGAAAGCAGCCAAAAUGGCACAGUGCUUAUGGAAGAAACUGCUUAUCCAGCUUUGGAGGAAACCAGCUCAACAAUUGAGGCAGAGGAACAAAAGAUACCCGAAGACAGUAUCUAUAUUGGAACUGCCAGUGAUGAUUCUGAUAUUGUUACCCUUGAGCCACCUAAGUUAGAAGAAAUUGGAAAUCAAGAAGUUGUCAUUGUUGAAG
rnacentral:lncRNA from 1 species